rnacentral:rRNA from 1 species
UACGUAGGGUGCGAGCGUUAAUCGGAAUUACUGGGCGUAAAGCGUGCGCAGGCGGUUCGUUGUGUCGGCGGUGAAAGCCCCGGGCUCAACCUGGGAAUGGCCGUUGAAACUGGCGAACUGGAGUGUGGCAGAGGGGGGUGGAAUUCCGCGUGUAGCAGUGAAAUGCGUAGAGAUGCGGAGGAACACCGAUGGCGAAGGCAGCCCCCUGGGCUGACACUGACGCUCAGGCACGAAAGCGUGGAGAGCAAACAGG